UACAGUUUUUUUCUUUUCUUUUUAUCCCUAAUUUUUGCCCGAACCUUUUCUCUUUUUUUCUCGGUUCGCCAGGAUGCCCUUUUUUUGCCUGGACUCUUUUAUUCUUUUCGUCCAGCGGGUUUCUUUUACGAAGUAUUUUUUAACUGCGUCCGCACUUACAGGGGAUGGAAAAUCCUCGUCAUCCGUGGUCGUCAACAACAAGGCUCUGCCAGAGAACACAUUCUUG
rnacentral:lncRNA from 1 species